rnacentral:tRNA from 1 species
GAGGCGUAUGAACACCCAGACCUGCUAAAUCAAACAACUGAUGUUAAAAUCCUCAGGCCUCUUA